rnacentral:tRNA from 1 species
UUUCCCGUAGUGUAAUGGCAGCACGAGAUACUUUGGAUAUCUUUGACUAGGUUCGAGUCCUGGCGGGAAAGC